rnacentral:rRNA from 1 species
AUUGAACGCUGGCGGCAGGCCUAACACAUGCAAGUCGAGCGGAUGAAGGGAGCUUGCUCCUGGAUUCAGCGGCGGACGGGUGAGUAAUGCCUAGGAAUCUGCCUGGUAGUGGGGGAUAACGUCCGGAAACGGGCGCUAAUACCGCAUACGUCCUGAGGGAGAAAGUGGGGGAUCUUCGGACCUCACGCUAUCAGAUGAGCCUAGGUCGGAUUAGCUAGUUGGUGGGGUAAAGGCCUACCAAGGCGACGAUCCGUAACUGGUCUGAGAGGAUGAUCAGUCACACUGGAACUGAGACACGGUCCAGACUCCUACGGGAGGCAGGAGUGGGGAAUACUGGACAAUGGGCGAAAGCCUGAUCCAGCCAUGCCGCGUGUGUGAAGAAGGUCUUCGGAUUGUAAAGCACUUUAAGUUGGGAGGAAGGGCAGUAAGUUAAUACCUUGCUGUUUUGACGUUACCAACAGAAUAAGCACCGGCUAACUUCGUG